rnacentral:rRNA from 1 species
CGGAGCUUGCUCCACCGGAAAAAGAAGAGUGGCGAACGGGUGAGUAACACGUGGGUAACCUGCCCAUCAGAAGGGGAUAACACUUGGAAACAGGUGCUAAUACCGUAUAACAAUCGAAACCGCAUGGUUUUGAUUUGAAAGGCGCUUUCGGGUGUCGCUGAUGGAUGGACCCGCGGUGCAUUAGCUAGUUGGUGAGGUAACGGCUCACCAAGGCCACGAUGCAUAGCCGACCUGAGAGGGUGAUCGGCCACAUUGGGACUGAGACACGGCCCAAACUCCUACGGGAGGCAGCAGUAGGGAAUCUUCGGCAAUGGACGAAAGUCUGACCGAGCAACGCCGCGUGAGUGAAGAAGGUUUUCGGAUCGUAAAACUCUGUUGUUAGAGAAGAACAAGGAUGAGAGUAACUGUUCAUCCCUUGACGGUAUCUAACCAGAAAGCCACGGCUAACUACGUGCCAGCAGCCGCGGUAAUACGUAGGUGGCAAGCGUUGUCCGGAUUUAUUGGGCGUAAAGCGAGCGCAGGCGGUUUCUUAAGUCUGAUGUGAAAGCCCCCGGCUCAACCGGGGAGGGUCAUUGGAAACUGGGAGACUUGAGUGCAGAAGAGGAGAGUGGAAUUCCAUGUGUAGCGGUGAAAUGCGUAGAUAUAUGGAGGAACACCAGUGGCGAAGGCGGCUCUCUGGUCUGUAACUGACGCUGAGGCUCGAAAGCGUGGGGAGCAAACAGGAUUAGAUACCCUGGUAGUCCACGCCGUAAACGAUGAGUGCUAAGUGUUGGAGGGUUUCCGCCCUUCAGUGCUGCAGCUAACGCAUUAAGCACUCCGCCUGGGGAGUACGACCGCAAGGUUGAAACUCAAAGGAAUUGACGGGGGCCCGCACAAGCGGUGGAGCAUGUGGUUUAAUUCGAAGCAACGCGAAGAACCUUACCAGGUCUUGACAUCCUUUGACCACUCUAGAGAUAGAGCUUCCCCUUCGGGGGCAAAGUGACAGGUGGUGCAUGGUUGUCGUCAGCUCGUGUCGUGAGAUGUUGGGUUAAGUCCCGCAACGAGCGCAACCCUUAUUGUUAGUUGCCAUCAUUCAGUUGGGCACUCUAGCAAGACUGCCGGUGACAAACCGGAGGAAGGUGGGGAUGACGUCAAAUCAUCAUGCCCCUUAUGACCUGGGCUACACACGUGCUACAAUGGGAAGUACAACGAGUCGCGAAGUCGCGAGGCUAAGCUAAUCUCUUAAAGCUUCUCUCAGUUCGGAUUGUAGGCUGCAACUCGCCUACAUGAAGCCGGAAUCGCUAGUAAUCGCGGAUCAGCACGCCGCGGUGAAUACGUUCCCGGGCCUUGUACACACCGCCCGUCACACCACGAGAGUUUGUAACACCCGAAGUCGGU